ensembl:lncRNA
AGCUUCCCGAGUUUGCGAGUUAACAGCUGACUAGCUUCCUGAGUUUGCUAGUUAACAGCUGACUAGCUUCCUGAGUUUGCUAGUUAACAGCUGAUUAGCUUCCUGAGUUUGUUAACAAACUCAGGUUUGUUAACAGCUGAUUAGCUUCCUGAGUUUGCUAGUUAACAGCUGACUAGCUCCCUGAGUUUGCUAGUUAACAGCUGACUAGCUUCCUGAGUUUGCUAGUUAACAGCUGACUAGCUUCCUGAGUUUGCUAGUUAACAGCUGAUUAGCUUCCUGAGUUUGCUAGUUAACAGCUGACUAGCUUCCUGAGUUUGCUAGUUAACAGCUGACUAGCCCACUAGAAUGCUAGCUACCUGCUAGUAAACAACCUUCUCAUAAGUAGACACAUU